rnacentral:rRNA from 1 species
AUACAGAGGGUGCGAGCGUUAAUCGGAAUUACUGGGCGUAAAGCGCGCGUAGGCGGCUUGAUAAGUCGGAUGUGAGAUCCCCGGGCUUAACCUGGGAAUUGCAUUCGAUACUGUCAGGCUAGAGUGUGGUAGAGGGAAGUGGAAUUUCCGGUGUAGCGGUGAAAUGCGUAGAUAUCGGAAAGAACAUCAGUGGCGAAGGCGGCUUCCUGGAUCAACACUGACGCUGAGGUGCGAAAGCGUGGGGAGCAAACAGGAUUAGAAACCCCAGUAGUCC